rnacentral:rRNA from 1 species
UCAGCGAAUUUAGCACCCAGGAUGGCGGCCAAAUCGUCAGCCGCCAGUUCAAUAUCCAGCCCGCGUUUACCACCGGAAACAUAAAUAGUGGCAAACGUGCGGGCAGGCGCGUCAAUCAGCGUGGGCAGCCGUUUCUUCUGUCCCAGCGGACUGAUCCCGCCGACUGAAUGGAAGGGCCAUCGCUCAACGGAUAAAAGGUACUCCGGGGAUAACAGGCUGAUACCGCCCAAGAGUUCAUAUCGACGGCGGUGUUUGGCACCUCGAUGUCGGCUCAUCACAUCCUGGGGCUG